UGGGGAAUAUUGCACAAUGGGGGGAACCCUGAUGCAGCGACGCCGCGUGAGGGAAGAAGGUUUUUGGAUUGUAAACCUCUGUCCUUGGUAAAGAAGCAAGACGGUAGCCAAGGAGGAAGCCACGGCUAACUACGUGCCAGCAGCCGCGGUAAUACGUAGGUGGCAAGCGUUGUCCGGAAUUACUGGGUGUAAAGGGAGCGUAGGCGGUUAUGCAAGUUGAAUGUGAAAUCUAUCGGCUCAACUGAUAGGCUGCGUUCAAAACUGUAUAUCUUGAGUGAAGUAGAGGCAGGCGGAAUUCCUAGUGUAGCGGUGAAAUGCGUAAAUAUUAGGAGGAACACCAGUGGCGAAGGCGGCCUGCUGGGCUUUAACUGACGCUGAGGCUCGAAAGCGUGGGUAGCAAACAGG
rnacentral:rRNA from 1 species